rnacentral:lncRNA from 1 species
AGAUAAGCUAAAAAUAUUGAUAGGUCAUGGACCUCCUUUUCGAGAUAUUUGAGAUUUAAAAUAUGGCGGGAAAAGGCUGACUCGGACUUUUACCUUAUAUUUGCAUUGGUAAUACUUGGGUCACAAACCAAAAGAAAAAAAAAUCAAGAAUCUUCUCAAAUUUUGGUAAAUGACCUUUCAUGAGCUAUUUUAAAAGUCUUAUUUGAAAAAAAUAAAUGGGUGUUAUGGGGCAAAAUAUUUUACAUAGUAUUGUAUGGAAAAACACCAAGGAGUCCGAACAUUUGACACAAAUUCCAAAACCUCACAUAAGUACAUCCUUAACAUGG